rnacentral:lncRNA from 1 species
UUUUGUUUACUCCGUUGUCUGCUGAUGCAUGGAGCACAUUUUGGCACCAGUCUGGGCUGCAUGUGAAGUCUGUAGACAUAGAGAGGCUCCUCACCUCUUGGUGGAGAGACCUGUGGCAAACUUUGUGUUUAGGAGGAUUAUCAGGGCAGGCCUGGGAUGGUCCUAUGAGGUGAAUUGGAGCGUUUCUUCUACAGAUAGGAGGGAAAUAGGACUGCCAGGGCCGUCCAGGGGACUGUGACCAAAGCACCGCUGGCCUAUGAUUCUGUGUCUCUCUCUUCUCUCCUGGCUCUGACCCUCAGAGCAGCUCCCCCUGGGGGUCGGAGGCCGGUGGCGGUUCCAGCCUCGUCUGUUUCCUCUGGCAGCUGUGUGGAACAUCAGCUGACCAGGCUCUUUCCUGGAAUGUGUUGCAAGCCUAGCAUUUCCUCUUGCACGUCAGCUGCCAGCCCAGUGCUGAUGAACCAAUGACUCGGUUUCCCUGUUGCGAUGGCUGUGUCUCAUAGAGGCCCAUUGCCGCAACCUGCAGGCUGUGGGACGUGGCCUGGGCACCUGUGAGCCCAUCCACUUCAGCUGUGUUCAGUGGGACUGGGAGGGGAGGCUGCCGGAGGCCGCAGGGUGCUGUGGCCCGCAGGGGCCAAGGGCAAAGCAAUCAGUGAGGCCAGGGAGAGCUGGGCUGGGACCCUGAGCCCCUCCAAUCGCUCCCAGUGGCCUCUCCCACCCCGCAAGCCCUGCAGUGCCCCUCCUGGGCGUCCAGCUGCCGCCCUCCCCACUCCCCGGUCUUGCUGGUUCUCAAGACGGGGAGAAGAGAGCAAAGUCAGGAUGCGGAAAUGGAGUGGCUGGGGCACCCAGGACUGGUCAAGGUGGGACACAAAUACUGACUGCCAUUUAGAGAAGAAUAUGUGCAAUAUACACAAGUUUGAACGCAUGCACAUACACACACACAUGUGGCCACGUGUUCACACAUGCACUUCUAUGCACACAGACUUGCAUACGCAUGUGCACAUGCAUGUGCGCGUGCACACACACACAGACACACACACACUCAUCUGGUUUCCCAAAAGGUCUCUUCAGGAGCGAGUUCCUCGGGCUGGGAGACAGCUGGCGGUGUUGAGACUGAAGUCUGCUUCUGCUCACAGGGAGGUGGGCAGGACCCGUGGUGCCCUGUGAGCACAGAGGGCGUGGGCCCGUCUGCAGCUCUGCGGCUCACUGCGACUCUGGGUGAGCCCUGCAGUCCAGAGCAACACACAGCGGGUGUGCAAGACACAUUCGUGCACAUUGGCCCUAUUUCAUAGCCAUGCUACUCUCUGAAAGUUUUGAAGCAACUUAGAAUAAUAAUGAACAAAGCCAGGCUUGGUGCCUACUACUAAGCCUAUAAUUUGAGCACUCUGGGAGGCUGAGUCAAGAGGACCACAAGUUCUAGCCCAGUCUGAGAAACUUAGCAAGAUCCUGUCUCCAAAAUAAAAAGGGGUGGGGAUGUACAGAUGUAGCUCAGGUAAAGGCCCUGGGCUCACUCUGCAGUACUGAAAAGAAAAUUAAACAAAACAACAAAAAGGUGCAUCAGUGAUAUGAGAGGAACACAACGAUGAUGGACAUAUAAAGUUAAAAGGUGAAAUCAGCACUUGAACUCUGAUGUGGCCAGGGAGAUCGCAUUUCACCCUGGAGAGAUGAAGCCCUCCAUGCUGGUGAGGGAGAUACUGCCCUGGGCCUGACCCCGAGGACACACUGGGCAGAGCCGGGUGGCCUCGGCCUCCCUCAGGGGCAGACAAGGGCCCACAGGACAGCUUCAGGGACAGCAGCACCUAAGUUUGACCCUGGUAAGCUCAGGACUGCCCUUCUGGAGCACCCAGGUUAUCUUUGAUUCUUUUCAUCCUAACAAACGAGCAGGACACAGGGGAGGCAGAGGGAGGACAGUGCACUGUGAACAGCCUUACACCGGGCUGCCUGGGCUCGAAUUCGGCCCCAUCAGAAUUGCUCUGCCAGUGCACAGUUACUUAGUUUCUGCACUUCAGUUUCCUAACUGGUAGAAGUGUGUCAGCAUGCUAGCCUCAGGGUUCUCUGAGGAUGAAUCGCGUUGGGAGGCAUGUGUAGUGUGGAGCGGCACUUGGCAUGCAGGGAGGACUGGCGAGCAGUGGCUGUCGGGAGGGCGUGGGCCCCCGAGUGUGCAGUUCUUGUGGUGCUGGGCUCUGCACUUUCCAGCCUGUGGCCCUCAGGAAGGUGUCCCCUCUCCCCUCUCCCCUCAGGAUUUGGGGCGGUGACUCACUCAGCCAGGGCAGAAUUUCCACAAGUGCAGCCGGGGUCCUGUGAUCAGGGUUGAGCAAGGUGUGUGUGUGCGUGCAUGUGGGUGUGUGUGCAUGUGUGUUUCUUGUGCCUUUUAUUGCUUUGCUUGAGGAAGGCAGAUUCUUGGUGGCAUCCAAUCACAACCUCACUUUACAGCUGUGUGAUGCUGACAGGCACAUGUCGCCCACCUUAUCUGUGUGACCUAGAAGCUUGAACCACAUUCAGUUGGGGUUGAGGCGGAAAGCGAAGCAGUGGGUCCUCCACAGCAGGUGGGCAGCUGAGCUCGGGAAGGACAUCAGACACCAGACUGCAGUCUCUGGUCCGAGGUUCACAGUGCCACUCCUGACUGGGCUGCCUCCUGGGGACUGGGAAAAUCAUGGGCACCACAGGCCCUCAGGGCCCACCUAGCAGAGUCCCUGGGGUCUUCCAUGCACGCAAGGUGCUGGCCACCUUCAGGGGCUGUCGUGUGACGACCCAAGUGAGAGCUGGAGGGCGGAGAUGGCUGAAAUCUGAUCUAGAGAGCACCUCUGUCCAUGCAGCAGAGCCCAGCCUCCUGCUGACCCCGCCGGUCUGAUGGCUGGAGCAUGUGCUCCUUCUUCCAGGAGGGUGUGCAGCUGACUUUGGAAGACCGUGCUCUCGGCCUGGAGCCCGUGGUGCAGUGUCUGCCCUGGGCACGAAGAGGAAGGAGGAGAGUUCUCAGGGCUGAGGCCUGAGCUGAGCUGAGUGGGGAGUGGAGGAGGAAUGGGUGGAAAUGGGAGUGGCCCAAAGCACCGGAUCAGCACUGGGAGGGUUUGGCUGGAGUGAGGACAGCUGGGGGCCCCACACGAGCAGCUUUGACUUAAUUCUCUUGGAGGACAGGCCAAGGACUCGCCUCUGACCCUAUCCAUGGGCGCCUUUCACAGGCAGUGUCAGGGGCCAGGGCAGGGUGAGGGUCUGCAGCCGUGUGUGCAAAUGGGAGUGCAUGACACCCAGUGUGCAGGGCAACCAUGUCCUGAGCACCUUUUGCCCUUGCUGGUUCACGGCUCUCAGUCUUCCUGGCCCUGAGCAGGUGAUCUAGGGUUUACAUACGCUUGGAUUUUACAAGUCUACUCACAUCACACUGUGCCAUCUUGUCAGAAGGAGAAACUGAGGCAAAAGAUCCUGAAGAACCUGCGGGGAGGAGCUGCCCUCCAAUCUGAAACAAGACGCAGGGAACAGACUGCCCAGGCUCCUUUGUUCAGCAGUCUGCACCUGCAUUUGGUUCUUUCCCUCCAUAUCUUGGAAAGAGGGGAGAGAGAAGUUCUUUGGGCAACGGCCAUCUGGAGCACUUCUCACUGGGCACAGGUUUGGGGGGGGAUGGCAGGAGGCUGUUGCCCCAAUAUUCCUUAGACUGUGGGUGAAUGGAGAGCUAGAAGUAUGGAGAUUCAGCAGGUUAGGAUUGAUGUAGGGGCCGGGUGGCUCCAGCACUCUUGGAGCUCAAAGCAGGAAGAUCAUCAGUUCAAGGCCAGCCUGGGUAAUUUAGCAAUUUAGGAAGGCUCAGUCUCAAAAUAAAAAGAGGGCUGGGGAUGUAGCUCAGGGUGAAGGCCCCGGGUUCCACCCCCACUACCAAAACAACGGAAACAAAGGAAGAGAAGAAGGAAAAGAGAGCAUGAAGAGAGAGACAGAGAGACGGAGACAGAAAGAUGGAGACAGAGGGGAGAGAGAGAGACAGUGUGGUCCCCUCUUAACCCCUAGCUGUGUGGGAAAGAGACAGGAGGAGGAAGACUGCACAGGAGACAGGAGGGCGUGGCCUGAGCUGGAGCAGAGGGGCCGCUGGUGGCCUGGCGCUGAAACCCUACUGCUAAGCCGGGCCCUUCCACAGCCCUGCUGUGAGGGUGAGGAAGAGCACUGGCUGCGGUUGGUCCAGGACCCUCGGGGGAGCGCUUGUCCGCCCGCCCAUUACCCCGGCCCUGGGAGCCUCCUCUCUCCCCUGCCCAGAAGCUCUCUUGCUCUCUCUGUCCCCGGGCUUUGAGAAGGGCAGGGCGCCCCGCCCAGGAGGGGAAGUGAACAGCAGCCUCCGCCCUGGGUUCCCAGUGAGCGUGUGAGCGUGUGAACGUGUGUGAGUGUGUGUGUGUGUGUGUGUAGGCUCACGCAGAUCAGACACAGAGCGCAGAGUGGAGAGCUUCCCGGACCUUCACAGAGAGCUUGGCCCUUGAAGCUUGUCACAGCCGGCCCAGCUGAGCAGAGGCGCAGGAGCAGCCUGGGGUAAGUGACGUGCUGGGGACUGGGGCGAAGGCAAGGGGGCUCGGGCGGAGCUGGACGUGUAGCGAGCGGAGAGGGAAGGGGACCCCUGUGGCCCUCUGCCCACCCCCCUCGAUGCCCCAGCCCUAUAUCUCCGUCCCUGGGCCCUGCUACCUGCAGCCACGUGGGGGCUGGGAACCCCAAGUGCAGCCACUAAGCGGGACCCACACAGUCACCCGGUAGGGAGGCACCAUGGCCAGUGCUCACGCAGGGGACACUGAGGAAGCCAGAUUUCCCAGGCCCCCAGAACCAGAGUCGUGGCGCAAAAGUCCUGAUUCUGCUGUAGGUGUCCCCACAGCCAGAUCACAGAAGCUCGGGGGACACUCGGACCUUCAGGAGGCAGGAGGUGAUGCCUGGAAUGGAAGUUUCACUUGUCCGGCAGCCCAACCCCUCAUGUGGCGCAUUCUGGGGAGCAGAGGUGAUGCUGGGCUAUGGCUUCACAUCUCCAUGGACCCUCUGAGGCUGGUGGGACCCCUCGCUACCUACAGCCUGGGCUGGUGUUCCCCGAGGUCUUCUUUUUCUCACAAAAGAAGCCAGGAUAGGGCCUGGGAUUUAGCUCAGUGGUUCUGGCACCUGCCUCACAAGCGCAAGGUCCCGAGUUCGAUCCCUGGUAUCAAAGAAAGAAGCCGGCUUAGCUCACCUCCCUGCAUGUCUGUCCCCACGGCACGUGCUGUUCCUCUGGCGGCUGGAGUUACCUGGGGACUGGGGCUCACGCUUUCCAGGGUCUCAUAGUAGCAGGGGUCUGGCAGUAUGGCUGGAGCAGUCGGAUGUGAUGGCCGAGUGAGGAGACUCACUAACCACAGAUGGAGAAUGGCAGCACCCAAGCCUGACUCGGGACCAAGCUGAACCCUGUACCCAGCACCAGUGAGAACAUGAAGAACCUGGCACGUGAUAUCAGUCUUCUAGCACGAGGCCAGUGUGACCUCCGGGGUCAGCUGUGGAGACACAGAAGGGCGGCAGUGACUGAGCUGUGGCCACCGACCUCUUGCUCUUGCAGCAUCUGUUCUGUGUGCAGGACACACCCGCUCUUUUCCUUCAGAGCACCUUUUCUCCCUGAGCACUUCUGUGCUUCUCCCUUUAUUCCUGCCC